rnacentral:lncRNA from 1 species
GGUAGCUACUUUGGAAGUAUAAAUACAUUUUAUUAUGUAUUUGUUUUGAGAAGGUAUUUAUAGUUCUAAUGCACUCAUGAGUUUUUUAAUGGUUAUUUAUACACUAAUUGCACAUUUUUCCUUGCCUUAACUUUUUACUGUUACUCAGAUGGCUUCUGUUUUCACUUCCUUGUGAUAUUACAACAUUUUGUAUUCUAAAAGAACUGUUGCAUACACGUUCAGGAGUUGUUUACAAGUUUUUAUGAUAGUGUAGCUAAGAAAGAGCCUGGCUCAAAGACACAGUGGAUGGUAGUAUGUUUAUCCUACAUGAGAUCUGUUGAUUUGAAAAUGGUUUUAAAAUAUUAUUCUUUUGUCAUGAGUCAGGAUUUCACGUUGCCCAGGUUGGCCUUGAACUUGCUAUGUAUAGGAGGAUGACUUUGGAUUUUUCUGAUGAUUAUGCCUCCUCCCAAAUGCUUGUUACUCCAGUUGUGUUCUUCCAGGGGAGCUGUAAACCUGUCUAUUUUUAAGAGUGAUUUUAGUCUGUUGGCUGAUCAGGAUAACGCCAAGAGUUGUUUGUAAGACUGUUUCCUUAUUUCCCGUGAGGGUUUAAAUAAUUUAGUAGUCUUUUACAUUUAUGAAAUUUCAGAGAGAUCAUUCAGGGUUAAUAUUUUCUAGGAAAAAGCUGGUUGAUUGUUAAUACUUUGACAACCUAAGGAAUUUUAAUACCUUAGGAACGUUAUAAUUGGAUAAAAGUCAUUGGUGUUAUAUAAUGGUAGAAGUACUAUGCGAAUCAUAAUGCCUAUAUUUAGAAUAACAAACAGUUCAAUUUCUCACUUUAUAUUUAAGAUUAGCUUUUUAUAAAUUCAAGAGAAUAUUCUUUAUGAGCUUUGAGAUAUAUUUACAAAAUAAUGCUUAGAAAACCCACCCAAUAAUUAUCUGAGUUACAUUGAAUAGAUAAAUCAAUAUACCAUGUAUAGAACAUUACUUUUCUUAAUGAUUUUAUCCUACAAUUGAAAGCAAUUUAAUUGUAAUUAAUUUUUGUACACAACAAGAAUUUAAGAUAACAUAUAAUGAUGAAUAGUCAAAUGUUUAUGAGCAUUUUAUAAUUAGCUAAUUAUAUUAGGAAUUUUUGAGGGAACAAAACACACAACAUUUUUCUCUUUCUCUCUAUACACCCCCAUCCCCACACCCCCUCACAUAUACAGUGACUUAUUAGAUUGACUUAUAUGAUUGAAGGAUGGGCAGUCCAAUACUGGUUACCUACACCAGAACUGGGAGCUAGAGCACUCACUAGCCUUAAUUCACAGAAAAAGGCAGUGCUGUACUCUCCCGUAGAGCCUAACAGCCUAAAAAGGGAAAACAUUCAUUCUAGUUACUGAACAGCAGUGAUUUUACAGACAACCAUAGUAGAAGCCUGGUGUGUGUGGGUUCUUUAUCUCAUUAUAGUUAGAAAGCAGAGAGCUGAGACAGUAGGGGCAGGGACAGGACACCCAGGAUCAUCUACUUCAGGAAGUACUUCCUUUGGCUGGGCCCAAAAUACCACCAGGAGGUGGCCAUGCAAUCACCACAACCCCUUGUGGGGAACAAUUCAAAUUUAAGCCGUACAUCAAUUGUUUCUAGGACCACCUUCGCAGAUACACUGAAUAAAAACUGCGAUUUGGUAAUCUCCAUCUGCUUUUCAGUCAAGAUUAUACUUAUAUACUAGUAUUAUUUCUUCAUUUAGUUUUGUUUGUGGGGCUCUCUCUUACCGCAUUUAUAUUUUCUCCCAAAAUGCCACUUACUAGAAGUCUUUUGUAUUUGGUGGUUGUUGUUAUGUGUAUGUGUAUGUGCACAUCAGAGGACAGCGAGGGAAGGUUGUUUCUCUAAUUCCACCAUGUGGGUUCUGGGAUGGAACUCAGCGGUGUCAGACUAGGCAACUGCCUUUAGCCAAGUCAUCUUGCCAAGCCCGGAAUAUUUUUGCUGGACUAUAUUCUAUAGGCUUUAUGUGUAGUUACUACAAGUAUCAACUCAAAACAGUAUAUGUAUGUGUGAAACUUGGCUCUAUUUUAUAUAUAUACUCGAACAACUACAAAUUACUGAGCUGUGUCCCCAGUGUCUGACUUGCUAAAUGAGGUUAAAAAUGGUAUUUACAUCAUUGAAAUCUUUAAUUUCUUUUUCUUUUCUUUUUUUUUUUAGUAUAAAAGGAAGUUUACUUGAGACCUGGUGGGGCAGUCUGGAAAAGGGAGUAAAGGUAGCGAAAGGAAGGGGGCAGAGAAAGAGAGACCAAAAAACC